rnacentral:rRNA from 1 species
UACGUAGGCAGCAAGCGUUGUUCGGAGUUAUUGGGCGUAAAGAGCUCGUAGGCGGUGUGUCACGUCGUUCGUGAAAACCUGCAGCUUAACUGUGGGCGUGCGGUCGAUACGGGCAUCACUGGAGUUCGGCAGGGGAGACUGGAAUUCCUGGUGUAGCGGUGAAAUGCGCAGAUAUCAGGAGGAACACCGGUGGCGAAGGCGGGUCUCUGGGCCGAUACUGACGCUGAGGAGCGAAAGCGUGGGGAGCAAACAGG